GGGCUGUUCACUAUUGGAAUUUGUCAAAAUUUACUUAUCCAUUUAUUCAAAACGUAUUUGAGUGACUUCUACAUGCCCUGCACUGUUCUAAGUGCUGGGGUUAUAGCAACGGACAACACAGUCGAUUCCACGCCCCCUGGAGUCUGCAUUCUCACAUGGAAGAUGGGUAACAAACAGUGGUUAUGACUGCGUCGCAGUGAUGACUGCUGUGAAGUCAAUAAAGCGGACGGAGACAGAGGCUGAAGAUGCAGACUCAGGCGGGAGCCAGUGCUGAGUGCCGGCCUCUGUGCAGUCGGUUAGCUGGCAUGUGGGAUGGACGGGAAAUUCCACAGACAGCAGGUGUGUUUCACAACCUGGGAAUGUCCCCAGGACUAAGAAGCCUGAGUACUCUGCAGGUGUGGGAAAGCUUCAGCGUCGGCCUAAGGGGAGAAUUCCUAUGAGAUUCUCAAACAAGCCUCCAGAAACCAUCCAGCAGUCCUCCGCCUUUUCCAGUUCAGGCUUCCCAUAAACCAGUGUCAGGUCAGAGGUCGUCAUCCCAUUUCCACGUUCAUGGAACACCGUGAGACUUCUCUUCUCUGAGGAAGCAGUUUGGCAGUGGUGAGUAACUGAGGAGUCAGCAAAGCUCUUUUGUUCUCUUACUAUUGAGAUUCUUUCUAAAUCAUGCGCUUUCCUUACUUCUGCCUCAAAAAAGAAAUGUUAAAUUGAGAUGAUGAAAUGGUCUGUGGGUGUUUGAGACCCUUGUAUGCUGUCACAUCUUUGUUUUCACCAGCAUUCAAUCAUCCUUAUCUUCUGAUGUGAGAACGAAAUUAACUGAAGGUGAACCAGCCCCAGAACCUCCUCUGAAGAGUGUCCAUAUCUCUUCGAUAAUGUGCCCCUUUCUCCUAAAACUGGAAUGUGGAAAAUAUAAAUAAAUAAAUAAAUAGAGAAAAGUGUUUUCAAAAUCUGACUGAGCAAAGAUUAUUUAUAGCCCCAGAGUUCAGCGCUGGAUGUAGGCCCUGGAGGUAAUGAACAUAAUAAAAGCUUAAAAACUUUUUAGGCUCAUUUGCUUUUUAAGGAAUCCCAGGCUUGUCUCCCAGAAUCUCCCUCGGAGACUUUCACGGCUUGACUGGAAGUCUAAACUAAACUAAAUUCUGCUACAUGAAGUUGAAGCCUCUUUCUAUUUUUUUCAUACUUAAUGAAGAGGACUUAUUUUAGAUAACUAUUUUUUAAAUAAUGUCAGUAACUGAGUACUUUCUUGAGUUUGUUUAAGCCAAUUCAUCUCUAUGUUCUUAACCAUUUCUCAAAAAUCACCGUCACUUUGUUUUGUCCUCCUACCUGCCGAUUUCAUGCGGGAUCCAGGAGAGUGGUCGUUCGUACGGAAAGAGGUGACUAUUCUCAGUGAAUAGUAUCUGUUGUGACUUGUGAAAGGCCCCAGGAGGUCCCUUAGUUAGAACCAGAUUUCUGAACAGUUCUUAGAGUCUAGCAGUGCUGGGACCGACCAAACCUGAACCAGAUUACAGGAGCUCUCUUAAGGGCAGCUGUUUAUAGUUGCACAGGUUGUGGACUCCACAUCUUUAGGGCACUAUUAACCUUGUAGGUGGCUGCUUUAACUUGGGAAGAAAGCACUGUAGUCCUUGGGCCCAGAAAGAAGGCCAUUGAGACAGAACAGAACCAAGCAGGUGCAGUUCUCAGCACGUGAGCACGUGCCCUUCAGCUACACUGGCGGUGUCCCCUGGGGAAAAGGAGAUUGGGAACCUACAGGAUCUGCUUGUGCAAAGCAGUCCCCUUGGAGCACGGGUGAGCAGGUGACUCGGUAAACUGUACCGUCUCUGGACGGCUUGUCCACAUGGCCCCACAGAUGCCCCUAUGGACCAUCUCCUCAUGCUCCAGUCCCUCCAAACAGCUCAUCAAUCCUGGGACAGAGACGUCUGCAGGCAGAAGGCGUCUUUACUCAUGGCUUCCGGCAACAGAUGGGGAGGUGAGUGGGUUAAUUUAUGACUAAGAACCUGACCACGUGUCGGCGUGGAAUUCAAGACUGUUCUGUGAGCUGAAUCUGAGUCUCGCAUGCUGCUCACACCUACAGAUUAAACGUCCCAUGCAAGGAACUCAAGGGUCACAGAGAACAAAAUCCCCUAGAAGGAAACAGCGGCUUUCCUCAGCCACAGUGUCCAGCCUCUUGUAACCCUUAGACGGUGAUCUGGCUCCGAGCUUUCUUACAACCAGGAGACGAUGGUGGCUCUUCAGCUUUUGGUUUUUGACCAAAGAAAACAUAGCAAUUUAUCUGGAAUGAAAACAUAUUCCUAAAUUGAAAUGGCGGCAAGAAUCUAGCACAUGGCCAGCAGCAUCACAGGCCUUACAGGGUCUAAAAGCAUCUCAUUCUUCCACGUGAGAACUGGUGCUUAGAGAAAGUAGUUAAUGAUAAGUCCCAAUCUUGGAACAAAACAAACACAACAGAAGAAGAGUGACAAGAUUGUGGAAAUGGGUUUCCUAGUUAGCACGAUGCUGGGAGAGUGGACUCGGAACCCUGAUCUCUCCUCAUAGACCCCCAAACCCUCUUAAAAUACUUGAUGAAAAAUGGUUAGGAUGUUGGUUAUUUUGUACAACAUGUAUAUAAGGUAGAAAACAAUUAAUUAUUAGGCACAUAACCUCUACAUUUAAGUGACUAAUAAGAGAUUUUCUGUAAAAGCCUAAAACUGUUAAGAGGCCAAUGUGCAGAGUAGUAACACGUAAAGGACUAGAGAUGAGGAAGACCACCCCCGCUUUGCAGGAGGAGAAAAUUGGAAAUUCAGAAUUAGUGUCACUCAGAAUGAGACUGAGAGCAAAUGAGAUUCUCCAAAUAAAGUCUUCAUUGGAAUAAACACGUCUGAAUUGCACACAACUGCCUCCACGUGGCUGCAGGUGUGAGCUAGGGAGCAUCACAAAGACUCAGAGGACGGGACCCCCACAGCAGCCAUUUCAGGGGAGGUCAGACUGCAGGAAGAGCAAGAGAAGAGACAGAGGGAGGAGCAGAGACGGGAUGAGAGGGGAGCCAGAGAAACAGCCCGCAUUCUGUGGACUCACAUAAGGGCCCACUGGCACAUAGGGACCCCGCCUCCUCGGCUGAGGAGCAUUUCCUGCUGUUAAAGAACGUUGCCCCGGGAGGAGAACAGUGAGAACAGCGGUCUAUGACGUCUGAAGAUGAAUGAGCUCUCAGCUAAAGCAGAGUGCUUUUUUCUGGAUCUUACUUUCAGAUUUCCUCUGAUUUUUAACAAAAACUUGAGUUCUCUCAGAAAAGAUAUUUAAACCUCAUAAUUUUCAUGAAUGGAGAUAAAUGGGAAAAUCUUGGAAGGAUUAGUAUGAACUGAGCACAUAUUUUUAUAAUUAUCUGAUGAAAAAGUCCUUCUCUGACGAGUGCCUUUCCCAGACUCACACAUCCACACCUUAAUCUCAGGCUGAGAACCAGUAGAGGAGCCAGGAAGCUUGCACAGGCCCUUAUCUGAGGACCUGACCCAGCUGGCCCUGCAGUUCACAACUCCCUCCUCACGGUCCUCGGGGUCACAGGAGGGCCCAGUGGAAAUUCAGAAAGAAGAGGAUCAAAGAACCCACUGAGCCAAGGGCAGAGGAAACAGUUUACAGGAAAUCUGUGACCAGGCCGAUGUUCUUGUCUACCCUGCACAGUCACGAGAUCGAUGUUCUUGUCUACCCUGCACAGUCAUGAGGGUGAUGUUCUUGUCUACCCUGCACAGUCACGAGGGCGAUGUUCUUGUCUACACUGCACAGUCACGAGGCCCAUGUUCUUGUCUACACUCCACAGUCACGAGGCCCAUGUUCUUGUCUACCCUGCACAGUCACGAGGGCGAUGUUCACUGGACAAGUUGCUGAUCACUGGACAAGUAUUUCUAAUAAGUGUAAACAUAAUUCCUAUGAAACCCUUUAAUACGACAGUACUCCUCUGGGCAAGCAAGCAGAUGAAAGAAAAAUAUUCUGAUCCUUUAAAAUUGUGCAGAAGAAUUUUCCUUGACAAUGACUGAAUUAAAUGUGUUGUUUCUCACACAGUUGUGUUUCUUCGUAAAUGUGACCCCAAGAAGGAAAGUGUUUGAUGUUGUGGUUUCAGGAUCAAAAUCAGCAAUUUGAGUGUGGCUCUCAUUCCAGCAAAGCAUCAGGACGUUUACUGUGAAUCCACAACUUGUGAAGAGCCACAAGAUCAAAACUUCAGAGCAGGUUAGAUUAGCUCAUGCUCUUUAAAGUUGGCACAAAUACAGGCUGAGGUUACUGUGCCAUGUGAGACGAAAUGCAGAAAGCAGUAAAUCUGCCUUUAAAAAAGCACAAUUUCCAGUUGUUUUAUGCCUCACACCUACUCUUGCAAGAGACGUUGCAUGAGCAAAGCAUGGGAGCAGACCCCUCUGCAUUUAUUCCUCAAGAAACAGAUUCAGCGGCCCUCAGUCAGGUCCACUUGAAGAAGUGGGCAUCUGAGCUCUUGGGCCUACAGAGGUGCUCCUUUACUCCCUGAUUUUUGGAAGCCAGAAAUUUGGAAAGGAUGGAUCAUAAACAGCUGUCCUAAGGCUGUUUUCAAAUAACCUACUCAAACUGUUUUGUUAAAGAAAAACUGAAGGAACGCUUAAUCAGGAGGAUCUAGGUGUCCAAGGAGACCUCAGGAGGAUUGGAACCAAGAAGAGGGAAGCCACCAGGAUCAGACACCACCGUCCAGGUGAAUCUUGUUCUUGGGGCCAUGUGCUUGCCCAUCUGCACUUCCCUUUGCUGAUUCACUUUGUCUCCAGGUGUAGACGGCCAACACGGCCAUCCAGCCCUUCCUCCGUCAUUUCCUGACUCAGAGCCCAGCAGAGACUGCUUCUGUGCCCUUGAUUGGCUCAGGUUGUCAGGUUCAUCCCAGGUGAUGGGCAAAGGCUUGGGUUAUGGAAAUUCAACAUGGUUUCCUGGGCUCAUCCUUGGCUUGGUGGGUGAAUUAUUUCCAGAGUAGGCUGGAGAGCCAACCAAAAAACACGUGAACCACAACACUAGGUAGGUUCCUGCCUCACAGUAAAUCCCCAGCCAGCUACCAUGUGACCCUGUCUUCUCAAGUCAAACACUUUAGAAAGUGCCCCAAUAUUAACUGCCACUCAUAGUUUGCAGAGGACGCCAUUUCCCUUGUGUAGAUAAAAAGAUACCCUCAAAGUUAACGCACAGAGUUGCGGCCCCCUAUUGGAGCAAUGCCUAUUUCAGAAAAGCCCCUCUGGCUCCUCUUGUUUUGCGUUUCAGCACUGCAGCAGACGGUGUACACUGAAGUGACAGGGACAGCCAGAGAUGUCCUCUCCCCUCCCAAGGGCGGAUUGUUGUUAGGAGGCAGCUGUCCAGCGAGGGGCGGCGUGUCCCAAGCCCCUCUGCGUCUGGGUAGGAUUGGACCCUGGUUCUUAUCAGUGGUGACACAGUGCCACCCUGAAAGCCACUUGUUAAAGAUGACAAAUCCUCUGUUACUCUGGGUCCCUGAGUGCCUGUGUGGACCAGGGACAUUGAGAAAGGAAUUCUGUUCAAGACAAUACCUUAAUCUGUGCUUAGAAUUUUUUUUUCUCCAAUCCAAAAAAAGAGCCUUAACGUACAUUUACAAAGGUGGGCGAGCUUUUCUCUCUAAGGAACAGCAUCACACAGGACCAGAUCAGGUAAACCAACUGCAGGAAGAACCUCCUAGGACGUAGACUGAAAACCAGAAAGCCAGGGGGAUAAAACAGCGUUUUUCUCUCUCGUGAGUAUGAGAGUUCUCAUUUCUGUUUCUCUUGGGAUUUCUGUGCUCACUCUCUUUGUCUCUCUCUCCAUCAUUUCUCUGCUGAACCAGGUACCCGGCAAAGAUGAUGACGUGUCAUAGCACCAGAGUUCAAGCAAAAUCAAAUCAAGAGUGAUUUUAGAUACCUGGCAGGAGACCCUGAUGGGUCCAGUUAGUCAAGGGUGCCACACAGGAUCAUCAGUAUGGACCCAGGUCCUCCAUCCUGCCCACGUGGUCUCAGGGGUGAGAGGAGGGGUGGGGUGUGGACCAGAAGAUCCGAAGAGGAGGUGUCACAGGGAUUUCCUCCCACAGCCACACACAGUACUGACUUGUCACCUGCAGCUGCUCAGCCUCUGCAGUCUUACUCUUCCAUGUUCCACUCUCCAUCGCAGCUUAUCUCCCCAGCUCCUUCGCCUCCCCUUACGCCAUCACGUGCUCUUCAAAUCCAUCACAUCUGUGGAUACGUGACCUUCGCUUCCUCCCUCCAUCGUCUCCUCCCACCACAUCUCUUGUUCAAACCCACAAAUUCUCACUCCCUGGGUGUAAAAAACUACACAUGACAACUGUGAAUUAACUCAACCAUCAUCUUUCUCUGCUUUACAGCUGGACUUCUGAGCACGGCCAGAAAACGUCCCCGAAGCAAACGCAUUGUUUAAAGUUUAAAACUGCAGCAAGACUUGAACCCUGCUGGACAAUCCAGUGCCUUCUCCUCGCUCACACCCCUUCCCCACGCCAACCUUCCAGCCUCUGCUCAGGCCUCCCACUGCAGGGAACCUCCUCCUCGCUGCAGGGGAAUCUCUCACGUAGACAUUGGCUCACGUCAUUCCCCUUGUUUAGAAGAGUCUAAGGACUUCUCCACGUUGGUCCACAAAGUCAAAGCUCCUCAGCAUUUUGUACAACAUCCUUCCGGGAGUGGCCCCUCUCACCUCCGGUUACACCCACAUCCCUGAUGCACCCCAUAUUCCAGCCACGGCAGUGACUGAGACCUCAGGCUGCACCAGGCUCCCUCAUGCCACUGUCGCUGCACAGCCCACUUCAAACCUCAGCAUGUCACCUUCUCCUUGUCCCAUGUGGCAAGCUCCUCACCUCUCUCUUCAGGGCAGGUGUGGCCUCCUCCGGGAAGCUCACCUGCCUCCCUCUCCUCCCACACACGCCUCACCUGUGGGCCAGCUCACCGAGUUUACGUCUCUGCUCCCUCCCGAGCCCCAGUCCCACAGUCUGUACUUCAGAGUGGAGAUUCUGUCUCAAAAACUGAAAGUUGCAGCUGCCCCAUGAUAAACAUUCAAUAAGCGUUUCUAGAAUGAAUGGACAGAUGGGUUUUCCACUUGAAGAACAGGACAUUCCGUUUAGCAGUUGGGGGAUGGGGAGGCAAGCAGGGUGCUGACUACUCAGUAUACAAGAUUCCACUCUCCUGUCUGGUAAGAUCACUAAAACCAACAACAAAAACUCUCAAUCUGCUUAAAAGAAGAACGUCUAUCCCUCGAGUUAAUCACCUUCAACAGUGUUUUAUGGAAAACACCAGCGUCACACGAGGCUGACGUGGUGGCGUCCUCCCUCUGCUCUCCAUUCCCAAUAAGGAGAUAAGGGGGACGCGCUGACAUUUCAACUGGGUGGAAACCAACCUCCAGAGAUGGAGAUUUCCAGGCUGGCAGGCUUUUCUGCCACCUCCGAAGGGUGCUAACAGCUGAGAGAGAUGGUGUUGCCCAGAGCAGGAUGGAGAGGCACCAAGUCAGCUGGAAAGGCAGCCGGGGUCCAGGGUUUCACCAGCACCUGGGGGACCAGCCCUGUGGCAGUCCUACGAGAUCCAAUUCUCUGGAUGAGGAGCCCAGGAAGAUGAAUUUUAACAGGUUUCUCCAAUGCUUCUUUGGCCCCUUAACCUGUGGGCACAACUGACUCAGACGGGACUCUCCCCAGAGCUGCCCAGGGAGAGGGAAGUGUCCCGUGGAGAUGGGCAUACGAGGCCUAGCAAACCGAGACCCUUUUCAACUGUCAGGUCAGGAGCCCUGCUUCCUCGUUUUGACUCCAUGCUCACUAAGCACCCUCUGGCGGUUCAGUCUCCAUGAGGCAGAUCUGCUGGGGGAGACUGUGCAGGGACAGCCAACAUGGACUUCUGUUCUUUCAGAAAUGUUGCUUCUCAUUGCAAGAUAACACACUGUCACGGUUGUUCUGUUGUUCUGUUGCCCACCAGGAGACGUUUGGCAGUGUCCAGUGGCAUUUUUGUUUGUCACAAUCGGGAGAUGCCACUGGUAUCUAGAGUGUAGAGGCCAGAGAUGCUGUUAACAUUUUACGAUGCACACAAUAGCUCCCUACGAAAAGAAUUAUGGUGGCGGGUAUAUAUGGGAACAGUCUGUACUCUCUGCUCCAUUUUGCUGUAAAUCUAAAACUGCUGUAAAAAACAAAGUCUAUUGUCUAAAAGAGGGAAUCAUGUAGCGCAGAAUGCCAACAGUAUCGAGGCUGGGAAACCCUGCCCUGAAGGAAGCCGCAGAAGUGCUUCCCUACUCCUGACCCUACGCUCACUUCCCUAACGAGGCCCACUGGCUUUUGUGAGGAACAGCAAUUUUGCAUAGAAAUGCUUCCAAGUGAGCUCAGAUGUACAUCUCUGUCUCUCUUCUUGUUCAAGUCAGAAGAUAAUGUUGUAACUGAGUAACAUAUGCUCUGCAGCGUCACCCUCACGAGGAAGCCACUUAGCUAUACUGCAAAUACGACCCAUGCUGAGGCGAGAAUUGCAUUCCCUUUUGAAAGACACACCUAUGUCAACAGAGGUAGACUAAAUUAGAAGCAUGAGAUGUUAACGCCACAGCAAUGUGGUCUUGGAAUCUGGUGUGAGGAUGACCCACUUUGGGGGGUUUUCGUUUUGGUUUCCAGAAUCUCUGUGUCUCCCUCAGCACAUGGGCCUCCCACACCCACACAUCUUGUGAGCCAUAUGGCACUCUUCUGGAACGACUUUCAUUUGAUUUUCAUUCUCCUUUCCUUAGAAUAUUUCUUUUAUUCUCAUUCUGUCAGGAUGUGCUGAGGCCCUUGGGGAAGGGUCUUUGUUCAAAUUCUCUGCUUGCUGGUAGUGACCUUUACAAUUCCACUCGCACCUCUGCCUGAAGCCCCAGCGAAACCGGAAAACCAGAAUGUAACCCUGCUGGCGAAGUUUGGAGAAGGAAUUUUAUACAACUUCUGUGGAUUUGGAGAAAUGGAAGAACCCACUCUUCUUUUGGGGUCAGGAUGUCAAUAAUUAUCUUAUGUGAAAAAUUCACAGAUUUCUUUUGUGUGGUGGUAGGUUAGGGUUAGGGAUGUGAGAAGAUAAACGCCACUUCCUGGAGCCACGGAACCACAUACCCCGGGGCCCUCAACAACAUCAGGGACUUGAGUGGUCCAGCAGUAAAGACGAGGGAAAACAGCUAACUGUUUCACCAGGACAAAGCCAGAAGAAUGGUGGAAAGUAACCGUUAGAAUUAAAAGAUGCCGGCAGGACAGCAGGAGAGAAUCAAGAUUAAUUAGGCACAUUGAAGGAGUGGAACUCACUGUACCGAAAGAGAGCCGAGUCACUUCCCCCGACUGUUAGCUCUCCAUCCACCCGUCCUCUGCUUUGGGUGUCGUUGUUCAGCUUCGGGGACACUCAGUGGCCAGUGAGGCUGGGCAGAAGCACUCUGUGCUGUUUGCCUCCACCCUGUGUCAUCCAUGUUUGCUGAAGACCUUCCCACCUCGCAUCUGCCCCAGAAUUCCACCCUUGGUGAACCUCCCAGUAGGGAAAUGGCUUCUCAGGAGAAGUGCAGACAUAGCCAUUGUCUGUGGGAUGACACCUACUCUAAGGUUUAGUAUCUCAGAUUAGGAGAGGGCCUCUCCCAGCCAGUGGUUUGGGAUCACCUGCACGCAGCCAGCGGCCUUUAAGCCAGUUUUGACAUGCUGUUUCAGCCAAAGAAACACAAAUCUGAAAUCCAAAGUCAUUGAAAGCUAUUUAAAUCUCUACGGCAGGGGCUCAACUCCGUGUCCUAGGGGUUCGCGUCUACAUCGCACAGAAAGCACCGUCAAAGACUCGUUCCGCAUCUCUCUCAGACCAUCUCCUCAGGCGUCCAGCAGCUGGGGACUGUUCUUCUCUGUCCCCCAACACUGUCUGCAAACUCAGUUCAUGUUAGACCUCCUCUCAUCUUUCUUGUUUUAAGCUAUUCAUCAAAUGCUCUUUUCCAUCAUAGUCUAGAUUAAUCUAGACUUUCAGAGAAUUUCUCAAAGCUCCUUUCUAUCCGUUACAUGUGUCAACAAAGCCAAAUGCCAGGCACCUGCCAGUCAACGAAGGCUUGCCAUCUUUGAAAGUGAUUUUAUGAAAGCUAAGCUGAACAAAUCCACACUUUUCCUUGCAAAACACAAACUCACAUGCACACAGUAAUAAGGCACUCUGUUCUUCUUAAGGAAAAAAGGGUGUCAAUUUUUACGUCAAAUUACUAAAAGUAUGUCUAUACAGGAUUAGUUUUUUGGUGGCUCAGAGAAGGGAAAAUCCCCUAGAAAGAAUGAUUUCAUCCUAUAAAUAAUAGGUUAUUCUUCGAGAAAGCUCUUGAAAUGUGCUGUCAAAGGCACAGUUUUCUUUCUUAAUGUCUUAAUGGCACUAUUCUCUAGGCAGAGAAAAGGCAUGUCUUCAGGUUACACUCAAAAGGGAUCUGCUUCCCAAUUCUUUGGUGAGUUGACCCUGUGGAUGGUCGGCUCCUCAGGGAGGGGUGCCCAAUGGGGCCUUUGGAGGAUCCAGCUGAAGGCCCUUUUCAACUCAAGACAGUCCUGAACUGAUCAGGACUCUGAAGAUCACGGUCAGCAUCCAUCGUUGGGAGCCAAUUAGCAAGACAUAUUCCUGUGUGCAUGUCUGCAUGUGUGUUUUGUAAAGUAUGGGUUUGUUCACACUUUAUCUUUAAAAUCACAAAAGCCCUCAGUGUUAAACUAAGUAACACAUCCAGGCCUGUAGGAGUUCAGGUAGCUGGACCAUGAAAGCAAGCUGAGCUGGUCCUGGAGAGAGAAGGAGCGACAAGCUGGGCCUUGAAUAAUGAGUCAGGGGAGAACCAAAGGCCUCACCAGGAGCUCUUUUUCACACACUUUCGUUUUUUCUUCAACUUGAAGAAGAAAACCCAAAUAUUAAAAAUUUGUCUUUUUUCUCAUUUUUCUACAUUUUCUACCUAUCAACCCA
rnacentral:lncRNA from 1 species